GAUGAACGCUGGCGGUAUGCCUAACACAUGCAAGUCGUACGAGAGUUUUUAACUCUAGUGGCGGACGGGUGAGUAACACGUGAGAAUUUGCCUUUAGGAGGGGGAUAGCCCGGCGAAAGCCGGAUUAAUACCGCAUACGACCUGAGGGUGAAAGCGGGGGAUCGCAAGACCUCGCGCUAUUGGAGCGGCCGAUGUCAGAUUAGGUAGUUGGUGGGGUAAAGGCCUACCAAGCCGACGAUCUGUAGCUGGUCUGAGAGGACGACCAGCCACACUGGGACUGAGACACGGCCCAGACUCCUACGGGAGGCAGCAGUGGGGAAUUUUGGACAAUGGGCGCAAGCCUGAUCCAGCCAUGCCGCGUGCGGGAAGAAGGCC
rnacentral:rRNA from 1 species